rnacentral:rRNA from 1 species
GCGGCAGGCCUAACACAUGCAAGUCGAACGCCCUAGCAAUAGGGAGUGGCAGACGGGUGAGUAACGCGUGGGAACGUGCCUUUCGGUUCGGAAUAACUCAGGGAAACUUGAGCUAAUACCGGAUACGCCCUUCGGGGGAAAGAUUUAUUGCCGAAAGAUCGGCCCGCGUCCGAUUAGCUAGUUGGUGUGGUAAUGGCGCACCGAGGCGACGAUCGGUAGCUGGUCUGAGAGGAUGAUCAGCCACACUGGGACUGAGACACGGCCCAGACUCCUACGGGAGGCAGCAGUGGGGAAUAUUGGACAAUGGGCGCAAGCCUGAUCCAGCCAUGCCGCGUGAGUGAUGAAGGCCCUAGGGUUGUAAAGCUCUUUCGCCAGGGACGAUAAUGACGGUACCUGGAUAAGAAGCCCCGGCUAACUUCGUGCCA